rnacentral:lncRNA from 1 species
UUCUUACUACCUGAUUGCAAUGCUUCCCAUUUUUGUUUAUAGCCCUCGUUUUUUUUAUAUCUUCUAAUGUUCUAGAUUAAAAAAAGUCUGAGGCAACUUCCGAAGACAUAUAAAAUAUAACAUGGCAUAUAGGCAGAGAUGAAGAAAAAAUAAGGAUGAGAAUGGAACUUGGAUCUAGAAAUGAAGGGAAUGUAUAUACUUGUGUUCAACUUGAAGGUCUGUGGCAGGCAACAAGAAAAUGGAAACCUGGUCAUUCUCGCAAGGAAUGAGCAUGGCCGGAGUGGGGAAGAGAGCCAGAACAGACCAAGUGUGGAAUCCAGGACAGAAGAUAAAAUUGCAGAGUUCAAAGACUGCCUCUCUGAACAAAACCGGAAGAGAGAGGCCACCUAAACUAAAGAAAGCGUGUGUAUUAUCAGUGGCUGCACACACUGACUUUGAACAUUAUCUGCCAAGGAAGAAUGGUCAAGAAGGGGGUUAAAGGCUUAAACCAAGUUCACUGGAAUACAGUGGAGAGAGACCCUGGAGCCCACCAGGCAGGAAGAGGUGAGCUGUUGAAGAAGCAGGCACCCAGAAAGAAAGAAGUCAUCACUGUCAGAGUAAGUGUAAACCAGGC